UGCCUAGCAACUCCUAUCCCUACCUCCUCGCGGUACCGGCCGGAAACUAUGAGCAACCUUAGGGAAAAUCGGGUAACCAACCACGGUGGGAACUUUAGGGAAGG
rnacentral:ribozyme from 1 species